rnacentral:RNase_MRP_RNA from 2 species
CCCUCGUCCGAAAAAUCGCUAUUCGAAGCUCACACACGGAGAGAGCACUCGCUCUUUCACUUUUGCCACGAGCUUUGGGAAAAGUCCCCGGACAUCCAGCUUCCUUACCGGAAACUGGUCGCGGAAACGCGCCGCCAUAGAAGCACAGCGGCUGAUCUCGGCCGCCAGUUCCUUGUCUGUCCGGCACCGCCCGGCCCAUCACUCCAAAGUCGGCCGACUUCUCCGUCGCGGGUUUGCAGUAGUCCGAUUCCCGGGUCGGAGACCUCAUGGACGAAGAUAUGAGUCCGCGCUCCGGCCGCCUGUGGGCGUGAUUUGCCGUGUACGUCGGCGGGGUAACUGGCCGAUGGUGGGCUGCCGCUGGUCCGGUCGGGACUGGGAGCGUUACGGCUGGCUCGAGAGAUUUCGUCAAGAUUGCACAGACAUGCGAUUGCUCGUCGUCUGGAAACAGCGGCGAGUAACUCGACGGGGCUCAUUCUUGGUGCGAGG